UUUCUCUUGUGCUUCUGUGAGAAGUAUGAGCUUUGCAUAUGUGUCUUGUACUUGUAGAAGAGGAAGAAAGAGAACAAGCUGAAGAAAAAGAAAGAGAAGAAAAAAAAGAGAGAGAAAUCAGGGCCUGUCCAGCUUUCUAAGUACCUUAAAGACAAAAAGAAGACCGAAAACUACAGUAUGAUAACAGGAAAAAAAAUUAAGAUGAAAAUAAAGAAGAGUAAAAAGGAUAAAGAGAGAGACCGAAACCGUGCUGAACUCCUCGAUUUCCUAAACUCUGCCUUGUAAUGGAAAGAGUGCCGAGCAAGGACUUGUAAAUCUCCCAGGCCAACCAGUCAUCCUGCCUAGCAAAACACAAAGGAAACUCAGGGAAAAGGGCACCAUUUGUGACAAGACCAGACUCUUGUGCUGUGAAGACAAUCAGUGUCCUUUGCAACUGGCAAAAUGAAGACUUACUGCAAAGUUGUUUAUUAAUAUCCACGUCCCCCUUUUGAGAUCCUAAAGUAAUAGCCAAAUUGCAAUGUUGUAUGAGUGCUUAAAAUGUGUUGCUGAUGAUGAUCUGAAGUGAAAUGACAUUAUUGUACUUCAGCGUAUCAAAUACAUCCCAGAGCUGCAUGCAGAGCAUACUCAUAAUUUCAAAUGUCUUUAACAUUUGUGAUAGCUGAAACUUAGCAGAGUACUAGAAGAAAUAGGUGUUUCUGUAUAUAUCUUUCUUAGUAGUGAUUUUAUUUGUUCUAAUGACCACGAUGUCUCUUCGUGAAUAGUACAUCUACAGAAAUGAAUAUCUUUUUUAACAAUCGUCUUCAAUAUAUUGCUUUCUCAAAAAGUUUGAGACUCGAGCCUUCUCACGGGUGUUUAUUACCAUUUGUCAAAGCUUGGUAAUAAAUUUAUAAUUAAAAU
rnacentral:lncRNA from 1 species